CCUACGGGAGGCGGCAGUGAGGAAUAUUGGUCAAUGGGCGAGAGCCUGAACCAGCCAAGUCGCGUGAGGGAGUACUGCCCUAUGGGUUGUAAACCUCUUUUGUCGGGGAGCAAAAGCCGGACGUGUCCGGCUGUGAGAGUACCCGAAGAAAAAGCAUCGGCUAACUCCGUGCCAGCAGCCGCGGUAAUACGGAGGAUGCGAGCGUUAUCCGGAUUUAUUGGGUUUAAAGGGAGCGUAGGUGGAUUGUUAAGUCAGUUGUGAAAGUUUGCGGCUCAACCGUAAAAUUGCAGUUGAAACUGGCAGUCUUGAGUACAGUAGAGGUGGGCGGAAUUCGUGGUGUAGCGGUGAAAUGCUUAGAUAUCACGAAGAACUCCGAUUGCGAAGGCAUCUCACGAAUCCGCGAUUGACGCUGAUGCACGAAAGCGUGGGUAUCAAACAGGAUUAGAUACCCGAGUAGUC
rnacentral:rRNA from 1 species